rnacentral:sRNA from 1 species
AUAAUUUGAUGUCAUGUGUAUGAUUGAGUAUAAGAAUUAGAACCACAACCG